AAUCAUUCUCAUUUCAAAUCGAUUCACACACAUAGCAGACGCUAACACAUCAAGCGUCAUCAAUAGCGUGGUCUAUGGUGCAAUGCUAUCACUGGAGUAAGGCGUUUAUCUUCUAUUCGGGUAGCGUCAUGAUUGGCCUACCCUGAUGGCGUCAUGAUCGCUGCUGAUUGCCUUUCAAAUAGGUUUUCAGCAUUCUGCUUACACCUUUGGCAUAGAGUCACAUAUUUCACAAUCCAACAUCAAUUGGUACCAACAGCAGCCCUUCUCUCCAUCAUCCAGAAGGGUCUGAGAUCAGUGUUGGAGAUGAUGGUUCGGAACAACCCAUGGAAAGCUUAUCACUCAUUGAUGCUGUGAUGCCUGAUGUUGUUGCAAGUCGUCAACAGCAAACCCAGAACAAACAGAAACCACAAGUGGUAAAGACAGAACCACCAAAUUCCAAUGGAGAUGAACCCAUGCAUUCCAAUCGCUGGGAAGAGGAAACAGGAGUAGAGAUACCUGCCAGCAAAUCUACUGUACUUCGUGGCCAUGAAUCUGAAGUUUUCAUCUGUCUGCGCCUGAACCCAACAACAUUCAGAAGGGUGGAACUGAAGUUCCGAGCAACAAAGAUGUCACCUCACUUGAC